rnacentral:rRNA from 1 species
CCAAUAGCGUAUAUUAAAGUUGUUGCAGUUAAAAAGCUCGUAGUUGAAUUUCGGGAUUAGUACGUUGGUCGUGCCUUUGGUACGUACUGGUGUUACUGGUUCCUACCUUCUGACGAACCAUCAUGUCAUUAAUUUGGUGUGGCGGGGAAUCAGGACUGUUACUUUGAAAAAAUUAGAGUGUUUAAAGCAGGCUCGCGCUUGAAUACAUUA